rnacentral:rRNA from 1 species
AAAAAGGGUCUCCGUUGGUGACCAGCGGAGGGACAUUACCGAGUUUACAACUCCCAAACCCAAUGUGAACCAUACCAAACUGUUGCCUCGGCGGGGUCACGCCCCGGGUGCGUCGCAGCCCCGGAACCAGGCGCCCGCCGGAGGGACCAACCAAACUCUUUCUGUAGUCCCCUCGCGGACGUUAUUUCUUACAGCUCUGAGCAAAAAUUCAAAAUGAAUCAAAACUUUCAACAACGGAUCUCUUGGUUCUGGCAUCGAUGAAGAACGCAGCGAAAUGCGAUAAGUAAUGUGAAUUGCAGAAUUCAGUGAAUCAUCGAAUCUUUGAACGCACAUUGCGCCCGCCAGUAUUCUGGCGGGCAUGCCUGUCCGAGCGUCAUUUCAACCCUCGAACCCCUCCGGGGGGUCGGCGUUGGGGAUCGGGAACCCCUAAGACGGGAUCCCGGCCCCGAAAUACAGUGGCGGUCUCGCCGCAGCCUCUCCUGCGCAGUAGUUUGCACAACUCGCACCGGGAGCGCGGCGCGUCCACGUCCGUAAAACACCCAACUUCUGAAAUGUUGACCUCGGAUCAGGUAGGAAUACCCGCUGAACUUAAGCAUAUCAAUAAGCGGAGGA